ensembl:snRNA U6 U6 spliceosomal RNA
GUGCUCUCUUUGGCCACACAUAUGCUAAAACUGGGAUGAUAUGGAGAAGAUUAGCAUAGCCCCUGCACAAGAAUGGCAUGCAAGUUCAUGAAGUACUCCAUAUUAAA